rnacentral:rRNA from 1 species
GAGCCUACGGGGGGCAGCAGUGGGGAAUAUUGCACAAUGGGGGAAACCCUGAUGCAGUGACGCCGCGUAUAGGAAGAAGGUUUUCGGAUUGUAAACUAUUGUCGUUAGGGAAGAUACAAGACAGUACCUAAGGAGGAAGCCCCGGCUAACUAUGUGCCAGCAGCCGCGGUAAUACAUAGGGGGCAAGCGUUAUCCGGAUUUAUUGGGUGUAAAGGGUGCGUAGACAGAGAAACAAGUUGGUUGUGAAAUCCCUCGGCUCAACUGAGGAACUGCAACCAAAACUAUUUCCCUUGAGUGUCGGAGAG